CGUGGUACACUGCGCCAGUCAAUACCUCCACUUGCUCUCUCGGUUCACCUAGCCGGUAUCGCCAGUGAGUUGACAAGAGAAAAAAAGGGCGCGGGGAAUUCGGCAGGAGGGCACCAAGAAAGAAUCCAGUCCCCAUCCAGCAUCGGAUACUCGUCCAAACUGACCUGGCAAGAUUCUCCUUUCUUUUUUUUUUCUUUGUACCGUUUUCUUUCUUUUUAUUUUCUUUCCUCUUAUGUACUUUCUUCUUGAACCCGCAUCAGAUUAGAGACUCUUUGACGAGUGAUUCUAAACCAGAAUCUCCUUAACUCGACACCUCGUUGCUCGAGGUUUCAUUACGUUCGAUGACGUAUCGUGUUUUGAUAGGAGUCGAACCGAUAUUCGCUAAAAUCCUUAGGGGUUUUGUUGUAUUAUUUGGAAAUGGAGAUUUAAUAGGGCGAGAAAAGAAUAUGUACGUAUUACCUGAAAAUGAUCUGAAGAUGGAAACACCUUUUUCGUUUUCAAAAUUGUGGAAUUAAAAGUUCCGUAAUAAAUGAUCCGGCUAUAAAUAAAUCUAGUUACUUCCAUUACUUUCUAGAUUAAUGCUUGAAAUUAGAUGUUAUAAACAAUUUGUGGAAGGAAUUAGAUUUGACGAUGAUUGACAUCGAUUAUUACAUCUGUCGUUCGAACUGAUACAAAAAAUGGCGGGAAGGAAUCGGAAGGGUGGGAAUGAAAAGUCGAGAUGGACAACCUAUCGGAGAACAACAGUUAAAUUAUUUGUCAAUUGAGUGAAAUCGCGCGACGAAUUUCUGAAACGCCUCAAAAUCGACGCCGUAAAAUUAAAUCGUUACCAUUAUUGAGCUUUUAAAGGAAAGUUAAUAGUAGAAUGGUACUUAGAGACAUAAAAGCAGGCCUGUAUUUCGAGUGAAAAGUUGUCGUGGCAAUUUGUCUUACUAUUUUCUUACCGUGCAACCUGGACUAUAUCUUAACCCCCGCCCACUUCCCUGGCUGCUGAGCUAUUUUCCUCGGGUGGAAGUGCACGGACACUUCCCGUGAGAGUAGAAACCAGGAAGACAACGUCGCGCAGACAUCUCUAUAAAAUAGAUCGCAUCACCGGGAAAUACAAAGGGGGAGAUGUUACUAAACCAACUCGAAGGGGUCGCUACUUUAUACAUAUUUGUUAAAUAUUGCCUUCUUUCCGGCUGUCUUGCUACGUUAACCGCUAUUUGCUACAGCGGAAUCUCGGGAUUACGAUAUUACUUGAUUAAUAUUUCUUUUUGAUAUUUAUUUAACUUUGCCCUCACGAUGAAGAAAUAAGGCUUGGUUUACAAUAACCAUAGUACAAUAUAUGCUUGCUUAUUUACCCAUCUCAUCUUUCAUACUCUUUACAUUUACACCAACACUUUUGAAUAAGAGAUUGAAGUUAUAACAAAGAACUAUAAUAUUGUACAAUUCUAUACCUAUUCAUUUUUCUCUAUGAAAUGUUAAUGAAAUUUUUUAUCUUUUUUUUUAUCUUUAGAGAAGUUUAAAGAGAUUUAGAUAUUAAAAUUGUGAAAUUCUGUAUGUAUUAUUGAUAGAUGAGAUAACUUGGUUUAAAAUUGCUUUUAAUAUUUGAGAUGGUUCGAUUCCUCACUUCGAUGUUAGAUCUCGCUUCUCUUAGGAAUUUAUUGUACCAAAGGGCCAAUUCGUCUCCCCGGUUCGGAGAUGUGUGUCCUGCAGAACGAUGUAUAUUCCUCGCGGCUCAUAUGUUUAGUAUACUACGAAACAGACUCAAAUGUCUCCUCAGAGACUACUUCAUCGCGGAAUGUAGUAACUAAACACGCAUCUUCGACACGAUCACACAGUAUAAGUAAGAUUCUCUUUAUAAUUAAUAGCAUUUGUGCCUUUAUUAGAUAUAUCAGUAAUUUAAUUCCAACUCAGCUGAUUAGUCAUCGAUUUUUUAAAUCUAUUAAUCUAAGUAUAGAUUUCAAGGUAAUUAUGUAAAUUUUCACAAUAUAGUCUCUUCGUUCAUUUCUUUUCUUUUUUUUUUUUUUUUUUAUAUUUUCGGAAGUAGGAAAUAGGUGUACAGGGUUUAAGAUCUUUCAUAGAAAAUAUGAAAUUUAAGUCGCAAACUAAUUUAUUGUAUCACAUUGGAUCUGUGAUAUAACAAAUUGUGGGUGAAAAAUAAGUUUAUUGGCUUAGAAUACCUUAUUCCUGAAUAUCUAUGAAAAGCCGUGUCACAACCUUUAACAAGAGUAUAUUUAAUUCCUCCUGCCCAUUACAUCUAUAUGUACGUACAGUACAGUAACAAGAAUAUUUCAAUGCAAAACAAAAAAUACUUAAGGAACUUUGUACACAUACUUUCCAAUUUGAUAAUUACAAA